rnacentral:rRNA from 1 species
UACGAAGGGAGCUAGCGUUGUUCGGAAUCACUGGGCGUAAAGAGCGCGCAGGCGGUCGUUCAAGUCGCGUGUGAAAGCCCCCGGCUCAACUGGGGAGGGUCACGCGAUACUGAUCGACUCGAAGGCAGGAGAGGGUAGUGGAAUUCCCGGUGUAGUGGUGAAAUGCGUAGAUAUCGGGAGGAACACCAGUGGCGAAGGCGACUACCUGGCCUGUUCUUGACGCUGAGGCGCGAAAGCUAGGGGAGCAAACGGG